rnacentral:misc_RNA from 1 species
ACACUGGAAACUAGUGUCUAUCAUGGCAGCGUUACUGGGAUUCAAUUCUAAAGAGGUCUAUGAACUGAACUACCCGUUUUGGUGCCAAAAAACUAGAAAAAAUGGAAUAUUGGACUCAUAUUGACUAUCAGUUCACGUUGGUUCUUGUUUGACGGUGUUUGGGUGGAAGAAAGACAUCAGAGAGGCCGAUAAAUCCUGAGGUGGAGACCGCGUAUGAUGUCUUCGAUAUCUUAAUCAACUCCCAGAGUCAAUAGAUUGUCAGUGAAGAUCUGCUGUGAACACACCUUGUAUGUUACCUAUUGACAAACAGUAGUCCAAAUUUUUUUUGCUUUGGUUUGCGGUGUAUGGACAACCUAUUUUGGGCUCCUGCGAGUUAUCCUUGGCUCAUUUACUGUUUGUGGCUUAUUAAAAAGCCUUGGUGUGGACAAGCCUCUGUGUGUGGCCAAUUAACAAGUCUUAAUUAACAUCUGUGGACAAGUCUUCAGGGAAAGUAGAGAAUCCACAAUUUAGAUCUUGGACAAGUGGGGUCAGUGUAUGAAGCUGGAUAACAAGUGGCAAACCGGAUGGUUAAAAGCCAGGGACAAACUGAAGAGUCUUGCUCUAGGAUGCUGAAACUCGGCCCAUCAAAAAGAAAGAGAAGAGUGUGAAAACUGUUUUGUAAACUGGACUGUCUUGCUGUGCUGAUUGGAUCUUGAACUGUGUACAAGAGAUGGAGUUGGCUUCACCCAUAAAAUCUAUUACUCAGUCUUGAUCUGGGAUCCUAAAACCUGGUGCACCAAAACAAAAAGAGCAGAGUGUGAAAACCGUUUAGGAAACUGGACUGUCUUGCUGCGCUGAUCGGAUCUUGAACUGUGUACAAGAGAUGGUCGACUAAUAGCUAACCAACAAUGGAGUUGGCUUCACUCAUAAAGUCUCCUUCUCAGUCUUGGUCUGGAUGCUAAGACCUGUUCCACCAAAAAACGAAGAGGAGAGUGUGAAAACUGUGUUGGAAUCUGGACUGUCUUGCUGCACUGAUUGGAUCUUGAACUGUGUACAAGAGAUUUCCAAGUGUUUGUCUGGAGCCGUUGGACCAGAAGAGUUAGCGUUCUCUAAAGAGGGUGAACGAUGUGGAGAAAAGUAGAUAUCAAGAGGUCAGAUCAUCUCCAGCAAGACACCAUGCAAAAAUAUCAACCUUGGUAUCUCUGUCCCCUUCACGAAUGAAGCUGAAAGAAAGCUUUAAUCUUAAAAGGAAGUGUCGAUAGAAGUCCUCUGCCCUGUUUUAUAAACAUCUACAAAUUUACAAUACAAUCUUUUAAUACACAUGUGCUUUACAAUAGUAAUAUAACAUCUUUUUCUUACAAUACAUCAAUUUUAGAAAGUCUUUUCCGCCCGUCCGACCUCCCCCACCAAACCCACCCUUCAGACAACUUUCUUAAGAAUUUCAUAAAGUUGUCUACCUUGUGGUACUAACAUUUAUAACAUUUGAAAGUCUUUCUGUCUUACUUUAUCGUAACAAGCAUCGGUCUAAAAACACGCAUGUGUUUUAGAAGAUUUAGUUUACUACAAGGAUGAACUGGUUUGAAAUUUCAAAGAAAACUGUCUGUAGGAAGUGGGUGUGGUGGGGGACGGUGGACGAAAAAAUAGUGUCUUUAUUGCCUAUCAAUAAAUAUCCAACUAUCUAUUCUUCUGCACAGUACAACAAUGAACAAA